rnacentral:rRNA from 1 species
UACGUAGGAGGCAAGCGUUGUCCGGAGUUACUGGGCGUAAAGCGCACGCAGGCGGUUCAGUCAGUCUGUAGGGACAGGGCACAGCUCAACUGUGUCAGGCUUACGGAAACUGCUGAACUUGAGGGCUUCAGAGGGAUGGGGAAUUCCGGGUGGAGUGGUGAAAUGCGUAGAGAUCCGGAAGAACACCAAAGGCGAAGGCACCAUCCUGGGGAGUCACUGACGCUCGGGUGCGAAAGCCAGGGGAGCAAACGGG